rnacentral:rRNA from 1 species
CUCUGUGACUCCUACGGGAGGCAGCAGUGGGGAAUAUUGCACAAUGGGGGAAACCCUGAUGCAGCCAUGCCGCGUGUGUGAAGAAGGCCUUCGGGUUGUAAAGCACUUUCAGUAGGGAGGAAGGUAGUGUAGUUAACACCUGCAUUAUUUGACGUUACCUACAGAAGAAGCACCGGCUAACUCCGUGCCAGCAGCCGCGGUAAUACGGAGGGUGCGAGCGUUAAUCGGAAUUACUGGGCGUAAAGCGCAUGCAGGCGGCCUGUUAAGUCAGAUGUGAAAGCCCGGGGCUUAACCUCGGAAUUGCAUUUGAAACUGGCAGGCUAGAGUCUUGUAGAGGGGGUAGAAUUUCAGGUGUAGCGGUGAAAUGCGUAGAGAUCUGAAGGAAUACCAGUGGCGAAGGCGGCCCCCUGGACAAAGACUGACGCUCAGAUGCGAAAGCGUGGGGAGCAAACAGGAUUAGAUACCCUGUAG